CCCCCUCGGCCGGAGCGGGGUCCCCGCGCUGUCACCAGCCCCUCGUCCCCUCGAGGUUUGUCCCCUCGCUCCUUCCCCGGGGUGUCCCCGGGGUGUCCCCGGGGGUGUCCCCGGGGUGGCCCCGAGGGGUGGCCCCACGGGGGUCCCCGGGCAGGCCGAGCCCCCCCAGCUCCCCGCACCCCCCGGCGCUUUAAGCGAGGAUCCGAGCGCCCGGGGACGAGGUGACGCUGUAGCCUUGAUUCUAGAAAUAGUCUUCCUUCAAUAAAGAGACGAGAAACGCUCCCGCGGCCCCGGGCGGGGGUCGGCCAGGGGAGAGGAGAUUUGUCCUUUCCUCCCUGCAGCGAGUGAGGUGGGAACACCUGCCCAGGAGCAAUCGAGGAAUCCAGAAAAAUCAGGGAAUCCACGCGGAUCCGAGGCUGCUCUGCAGUAGGGAAGGAUUCUCCUGUGCUGGGCCCGGAGCCGAUGGCAGAGAAUGUCCACGACUAACAACAUAGCACAGGCCAGGAAGCUGGUGGAGCAGCUCCGCAUCGAGGCCGGCAUCGAGAGGAUCAAGGUCUCCAAAGCUUCCUCGGAGCUGAUGAAUUAUUGUGAGCAGCAUGCCCGGAAUGAUCCACUCCUGGUGGGAGUUCCUGCUUCCGAAAAUCCCUUUAAGGACAAAAAACCCUGUAUCAUCCUAUAGCUCCGGAUCCCUCCGGAAGGGAAUUCCCAUCCAGCCUCUGGAUCCAGGCUCCUCCACACCUCCACCUGUGCCCAAGGGUAAAAACUCAACGCUGGCUUCAAACAGAACUUAAAAAAUUCCUGAGAAAAACAAAAAA